CCUACGGGGGGCAGCAGUGAGGAAUAUUGGUCAAUGGACGAGAGUCUGAACCAGCCAAGUAGCGUGAAGGAUGACUGCCCUAUGGGUUGUAAACUUCUUUUAUAUGGGAAUAAAAUGUUCCACGUGUGGGAUUUUGUAUGUACCAUAUGAAUAAGGAUCGGCUAACUCCGUGCCAGCAGCCGCGGUAAUACGGAGGAUCCGAGCGUUAUCCGGAUUUAUUGGGUUUAAAGGGAGCGUAGGUGGAUUGUUAAGUUAGUUGUGAAAGUUUGCGGCUCAACCGUAAAAUUGCAGUUGAAACUGGCAGUCUUGAGUACAGUAGAGGUGGGCGGAAUGCGUGGUGUAGCGGUGAAAUGCUUAGAUAUCACGAAGAACUCCGAUUGCGAAGGCAGUUCACUGGACUGCAACUGACACUGAGGCUCGAAAGUGUGGGUAUCAAACAGGAUUAGAUACCCGAGUAGUC
rnacentral:rRNA from 1 species